AAAAGUAAGCAAGGGCGCAUGGCGGAUGCCUUGGCUCUCGGAGGCGAUGAAGGACGUGAUAAGCUGCGAUAAGCUGCGGGUAGGUGCAAAUGACCUUUGAUCCGCGGAUUUCCGAAUGGGACAACCCAAUAUCUUGAAGAGGUAUUAUCCUGCUAUGCAGGAGGCUAACGCAGGGAACUGAAACAUCUUAGUACCUGUAGGAAUAGAAAAUAAAUAAUGAUUCCCCUAGUAGUGGCGAGCGAACGGGGAAUAGCCCAAACCAUAUGUGUUACGGCAUGUAUGGGGUUGUAGGACCACGUCGUGGGACGACAGUUAGUGAGUAGAAUGAUCUGGAAAGUUCAGUCAUAGACGGUGAUAACCCGGUAUACGAAGCUAACUUAACCCUAGUGGUAUCCUGAGUAGCGCGGGACACGAGGAAUCUUGCGUGAAUCUGCCGGGACCAUCCGGUAAGGCUAAAUACUCCCGAGAGACCGAUAGCGAACCAGUACUGUGAAGGAAAGGUGAAAAGCACUUCGAACAGAAGAGUGAAAUAGUCCCUGAAACCAUGCGCCUACAAGCGGUCGGAGCAGCUUUAUGCUGUGACGGCGUGCCUUUUGCAUAAUGAACCUACGAGUUACUUUUUCCGGCAAGGUUAAGGAUCUUGAGAUCCGCAGCCGAAGCGAAAGCGAGUCUGAACAGGGCGGAUAGUCGGAAGGAGUAGACGCGAAACCAAGUGAUCUACCCUUGGCCAGGUUGAAGGACAGGUAACACUGUCUGGAGGACCGAACCGAUAAGCGUUGAAAAGCUUCCGGAUGAGCUGAGGGUGGGGGUGAAAGGCUAAUCAAACUUGGAGAUAGCUCGUACUCCCCGAAAUGCAUUUAGGUGCAGCCUUGAUUUAUACUAAUAUGAGGUAGAGCGACUGAUAAGAUGCGAGGGCUUCGCCGCCUAUCAAGUCUUGACAAACUCCGAAUGCGUAUUAGUUCUAUAUCAGGAGUGAGGGCAUGGGUGCUAAGGUCCAUGUCCUAAAGGAGAACAAUCCGGACCAUCAGCUAAGGUCCCGAAAUAACCACUAAGUUGAUCUAACGAAGUCAGAUUGCUAAGACAGCUAGGAUGUUGGCUUGGAAGCAGCCAUUCAUUUAAAGAGUGCGUAACAGCUCACUAGUCGAGGAGUUUGGCGUGGAUAAUAAUCGGGCAUAAGUGGUUUACCGAAGCUAUGGGAUGUUUAAUACAUCGGUAGGGGAGCAUUCCACUCUGCGUCGAAGGUGAAGCGUGAGCUUUGCUGGAGCGUGUGGAAAAGCAAAUGUAGGUAUAAGUAACGAUAAAGGGGGUGAGAAACCCCCUCGCCGAAAGACUAAGGUUUCCUGAUCAACGCUAAUCGGAUCAGGGUUAGUCGGGUCCUAAGGCUCAGCCGAACGGUGAGGCCGAUGGCAGAACAGGUUAAUAUUCCUGUACUACCUUAAAGAGUGACGUGGAGACGGAGGCGUGACAGUGCCGCGGACUGACGGAAUAGUCCGUUGAAGGGUGUAGAUGUUGAUCGGGGUAGGCAAAUCCGCUCCGAGAGUCGAACCUGAUAGUAUGGAGCGUUCUUCGGAACAAUCCAAUAGUGCAUGUAAACAUACUCCCAAGAAAAUCCGCUAAACUUAAUCUUUAAGGUACCCGUACCGCAAACGGACACACGUAGUCGGGUUGAAUAUACUAAGGCGCUUGAGUGAUUCACGGUUAAGGAACUAGGCAAAUUGACCCUGUAACUUCGGGAUAAAGGGUCCCCACUGUAAGGUGGGGCGCAGAGAAUCGGUCCAGGCAACUGUUUAACAAAAACACAGGGCUGUGCAAAAUUGAAAGAUGAAGUAUACAGCCUGACACCUGCCCGGUGCUGGAAGGUUAAGAGGAGAUGUCAUCGCAAGAGAAGCAUUGAAUUGAAGCCCCAGUAAACGGCGGCCGUAACUAUAACGGUCCUAAGGUAGCGAAAUUCCUUGUCGGGUAAGUUCCGACCUGCACGAAUGGUGUAAUGAUCUGGAC
rnacentral:rRNA from 1 species